rnacentral:lncRNA from 1 species
CAGGCACAGCUCGGCUGCAGAGAACCUCGGCUCGGACAAGCUCGGCUGCAGAGAACCUCGGCUCGGACAAGCACAGGCCCAACGAGCACAAGAGAACCGAGCUCGGCUCGGACAAGGAGGGAACAUCCCAACGAGCACAAGAAAACCAAGCUUUACGUAAUAGAAAUAAAAAGGAGGGAAUGGGAAUCGAAAUAAAAAGGAGGGAAUGGGAAUCGAACCUGUUAUCUCAUCCCCACCCAAACAACACACCAACCACCAAGCCAAAC